UACGUAAGUCGCAAGCGUUAUCCGGAUUUACUGGGCGUAAAGGGCGUCUAGGCGGUUUGAUAAGUCAGAGGUGAAAAGUCAGGGCUCAACCUUGGCCUGGCCUUUGAAACUGUUAGACUAGAGUACGGAAGAGGAGGGUGGAACUACAAGUGUAGCGGUGGAAUGCGUAGAUAUUUGUAGGAAUGCCGAUGAUGAAGAUAGCCCUCUGGGACGAUACUGACGCUAAAGCGCGAAAGCUAGGGUAGCAAACAGG
rnacentral:rRNA from 1 species